CACAGGUGGGAUUGCGUUUUGAAAUAUUGAAUAGGCAUUAAGUGUGAUUAGGUGGCCAUGGCCCCCACACCCGUUAGCCCAUUGGGCUAACCCGUUUAUGCGGGUUUGAGUCGGGGGGUGGGCUUGAGUUCUAAGAGGAGAGUUAGAGGAAUAACCGAAGGAAGGAUGAAAUCUAUAGAUAUUGGUUGGAACAUCAAAAGCGACAGCAUCACUCUAUUUUAGGACUGACACUGAAUCACUAAAGUGUGGGGAGCAAACCGGAUUAGAUACCCGUGUAGU
rnacentral:rRNA from 1 species